CUUCUCUUCUUAUGAUGGUUUCCGCUACUGCUGCUAUUGCUAUGGUGGUAGGAAUGUGAUGGUUGUGGUGAUGAUGGCAGUGAUGGUGGUGGUGGUGGUGAUAAUGGUGAUGGUGGCAAUGAUGGUAAUGAAGAUGAUGGUGAUGGUGAUGAUGAUGGUAAUGACAUGGUGGUGUGAUCAUGAUGAUGGUGAGGAUGGUGGUGGUGAUGAUGGUAACAGUGAUGAUGAUGGUGAUGGUGGUGAUGAUGGUGAUGGAGGUGAUGAUGGUGAUGGUGAUGGUGAUGAUGGUGAUGGUGGUGAUAUGAUGGUGAUGGUGAUGAUGAUGGUGAUGAUGGUGGUGAUGGUGAUGAUGAUGGUGAUGGUGAUGGUGAUGAUGAUGGUGGUGAUAAUGAUGGUGAUGAUGGUAAUGACAAUGAUGGUGAUGAUGAUGGUAAUGACAUGGUGGUGGUGAUCAUGAUGAUGGUGAGGAUGGUGAUGGUGAUGAUGGUGCUGGUGACGAUAAUGAUAGUGGUGGUGAUGAUGGUGAUGACAUGGUGGUGAUGAUGGUGAUGAUGACAAUGAUGGUGAUCAUGAUGGUGAUGAUGAUGGUGAUGGCGAUGGUGAUGAUGGUGGUAAUAACAUAGUGGUGAUGAUCAUGAUGAUGGGGAAGAUGGUGGCGGUGAUGGUGACAGUGAUGAUGAUGAUGAUGGUGAUGGUGUUGAUGGUGAUGGUGAUGAUGACAGUGAUGGUGGUGAUGAUGGUGAGGAUGAUGAUGAUGGUGGUGAUGAUGGUGGUGAUGAUGAUGGUGGUGAUGAUGACAGUGAUGGUGGUGGUGAUGAUGAGGAUGAUGAUGGUGAUGGUGAUAGUGAUGAUGAUGGUGAUUAUGUGAUGGUGAUGGUGAUGAUGAUGGUGAUGAUGUGAUGGUGAUGGUGAUGAUGACAGUGAUGGUGGUGAUGAUGGUGAGGAUGAUGAUGGUGAUGGUGAUGAUGGUAAUAACAUGAUGGUAGUGGUGAUCAUGAUGAUGGUGAGGAUGGUGGUGGUGAUGGUGAUAGUGAUGAUGAUGGUGAUUAUGUGAUAGUGAUGGUGAUGGUGAUGAUGAUGGUGAUGAUGUGAUGGUGAUGGUGGUGAUGAUGACAGUGAUGGUGGUGAUGAUGGUGAGGAUGAUGAUGGUGAUGGUGAUGAUGGUAAUAACAUGAUGGUAGUGGUGAUCAUGAUGAUGGUGAGGAUGGUGGUGGUGAUGAUGGUAGUGAUGAGGAUGAUGGUGGUGGUGUUGAUGGUGCUGAUGACAGUGAUGGUGACAAUAGUAAUGAUG
rnacentral:lncRNA from 1 species